rnacentral:rRNA from 1 species
CUGGCGGCAGGCCUAAUACAUGCAAGUCGAGGGGGAAGUNACUUUCGGGUGACGGAGACCGGCGCACAGGUGAGUAACGCGUGGGAAUUUACCAUGGAGUGGGGGAUAACCGCUGGAAACGGCGGCUAAUACCGCAUACGCCCUUAGGGGGAAAGCUUUAGCGCUUUAUGAUGAGCCCGCGUUAGAUUAGGUAGUUGGUGGGGUAAAGGCCUACCAAGCCGACGAUCUAUAGCUGGUCUGAGAGGAUGAUCAGCCACACUGGGACUGAGACACGGCCCAGACUCCUACGGGAGGCAGCAGUGGGGAAUAUUGGACAAUGGGGGCAACCCUGAUCCAGCCAUGCCGCGUGCGUGAAGAANGCCUUAGGGUUGUAAAGCGCUUUCACUGGUGAAGAUGAUGACGGUAGCCGGAGAAGAAGCCCCGGCUAACUC